rnacentral:rRNA from 1 species
AAAUAGAACUUUGCAGAGAGAGUUAAGAGGGCGUGAAACCGUUAAUUGGCAAACGAAUCGGAGCCACGAAGUCGUUUCGUUGAGUUUGGCCGAGUUCAGCCAAGAAUCAGCCGAUUCUUGGUGUAUUCUUGGCCAGGCCUCUCUGUAAGCGUACACUGCAACCAGUUAGACGAUUGGAAAUGGGCCCAGUUGUUCGGGUUAGUAGUAGUGUGCGGUGUAUUUCGGUGCAUUCAUACUGCUGGGCCUGUGGCAAGUGAACUAUUACCAAAUACUGACUGGCAAAAUGAAAAUCGCGCAAGCGUUGCACAAAAUGCAGCCCUGCGCCUAGGGGUCUACACAUGUGACCAUGGGGUUUUUUAAGCUCGGCAUUCUUGAAUUUAGGCUUGCUUGCUACCAAUGGGGCAACUCUUGGUGCUUGUACAGUUUCUAUCUAAUCGGGUGUUGACUUGAUCCUAUGUCGUUCGGGUGUGCUCUGUUUGGGCCCCUAUGUGACUGGGUUUGCAAUUAUUGGCAGUGAGUAGGUCGGCUUUCCGAACGACCCGUCUUGAAACACGGACCAAGGAGUCUAAUUAGGCAUCGAGUCGAUCGGUCUUGAAUAGGCCAGACUAUGUGGCUUCAUGUGAUUGAAGGCGUAGAGACAUGUGAUCGUGUGGACAAUAGCAGUCCUAGCGCGCAACAUGUGCCUGUUCGUAUAGCAAUGUAGCAAUAAUUGCUGGCGGAGCAAAGAGAUGUCUGAUUGGUACCCGAAAGAUGGUGAGCUUGGGCAAGUUGAAGCCAGAGGAAACUCUGGUGGAGGACUGUAGCGAUUCUGACGUGCAAAUCGAUCGUCAGACCUGAGUAUAGGGGCGAAAGACUAAUCGAACCAUC